CUUCUUUUUCACCGGAGCUUGCUCCACCGGAAAAAGAAGAGUGGCGAACGGGUGAGUAACACGUGGGUAACCUGCCCAUCAGAAGGGGAUAACACUUGGAAACAGGUGCUAAUACCGUAUAACAAUCGAAACCGCAUGGUUUUGAUUUGAAAGGCGCUUUCGGGUGUCGCUGAUGGAUGGACCCGCGGUGCAUUAGCUAGUUGGUGAGGUAACGGCUCACCAAGGCCACGAUGCAUAGCCGACCUGAGAGGGUGAUCGGCCACAUUGGGACUGAGACACGGCCCAAACUCCUACGGGAGGCAGCAGUAGGGAAUCUUCGGCAAUGGACGAAAGUCUGACCGAGCAACGCCGCGUGAGUGAAGAAGGUUUUCGGAUCGUAAAACUCUGUUGUUAGAGAAGAACAAGGAUGAGAGUAACUGUUCAUCCCUUGACGGUAUCUAACCAGAAAGCCACGGCUAACUACGUGCCAGCAGCCGCGGUAAUACGUAGGUGGCAAGCGUUGUCCGGAUUUAUUGGGCGUAAAGCGAGCGCAGGCGGUUUCUUAAGUCUGAUGUGAAAGCCCCCGGCUCAACCGGGGAGGGUCAUUGGAAACUGGGAGACUUGAGUGCAGAAGAGGAGAGUGGAAUUCCAUGUGUAGCGGUGAAAUGCGUAGAUAUAUGGAGGAACACCAGUGGCGAAGGCGGCUCUCUGGUCUGUAACUGACGCUGAGGCUCGAAAGCGUGGGGAGCAAACAGGAUUAGAUACCCUGGUAGUCCACGCCGUAAACGAUGAGUGCUAAGUGUUGGAGGGUUUCCGCCCUUCAGUGCUGCAGCUAACGCAUUAAGCACUCCGCCUGGGGAGUACGACCGCAAGGUUGAAACUCAAAGGAAUUGACGGGGGCCCGCACAAGCGGUGGAGCAUGUGGUUUAAUUCGAAGCAACGCGAAGAACCUUACCAGGUCUUGACAUCCUUUGACCACUCUAGAGAUAGAGCUUCCCCUUCGGGGGCAAAGUGACAGGUGGUGCAUGGUUGUCGUCAGCUCGUGUCGUGAGAUGUUGGGUUAAGUCCCGCAACGAGCGCAACCCUUAUUGUUAGUUGCCAUCAUUUAGUUGGGCACUCUAGCAAGACUGCCGGUGACAAACCGGAGGAAGGUGGGGAUGACGUCAAAUCAUCAUGCCCCUUAUGACCUGGGCUACACACGUGCUACAAUGGGAAGUACAACGAGUCGCGAAGUCGCGAGGCUAAGCUAAUCUCUUAAAGCUUCUCUCAGUUCGGAUUGUAGGCUGCAACUCGCCUACAUGAAGCCGGAAUCGCUAGUAAUCGCGGAUCAGCACGCCGCGGUGAAUACGUUCCCGGGCCUUGUACACA
rnacentral:rRNA from 1 species